CCUACGGGAGGCAGCAGUGAGGAAUAUUGGUCAAUGGACGAGAGUCUGAACCAGCCAAGUAGCGUGAAGGAUGACUGCCCGAUGGGUUGUAAACUUCUUUUAUAAAGGAAUAAAACGAGGCACGUGGGCGGUUUUGCAUGUACCUUAUGAAUAAGGAUCGGCUAACUCCGUGCCAGCAGCCGCGGUAAUACGGAGGAUCCGAGCGUUAUCCGGAUUUAUUGGGGUUAAAGGGAGCGUAGCUGGGUUGUUAAGUCCGUUGUCAAAGUUUGCGGCUCAACCGUAAAAUUGCACUUGAUACUGGCAGUCUUUCGUACAGUUGCGGUCGCCGGAAUUCGUGGUGUAGCGG
rnacentral:rRNA from 1 species